rnacentral:rRNA from 1 species
GGGUAAAGCUCGUAGUUGGAUUUCUCUUGAGUAUCACCGGUUCAUACCACGUAUGCAUAUCUGGUUGAGGCUCGAGAUCCUCUCGCGAAACGUUUCUGCGCUUGAUUGCGUGGAGCGGGUCUCGGGACUUUUACUUUGAGGAAAUUAGAGUGUUCACGGCAGGCUAUCGCCCGAAUACAUUAGCAUGGAAUAAUACUAUAGGAUUUCGAUUCUAUUUUGUUGGUUUCUAGAAUUGAAAUAAUGAUUAAUAGGGACAAUUGGGGGCAUUCGUAUCAACACGUCAGAGGUGGAAUUCUUGGAUUGUGUUGCGACGAACUACUGCGAAAGCAUUUGCCAAGGAUGUUUUCAUUGAUCAAGAACGAAAGUAAGGGGAUCGAAGACGAUUAGAUACCGUCGUAGUCUUUACCAUAAACUAUGCCAACUAGAGAUGGGACAUCGUUCACUUACGACUUGUUCCGCACCUUAUGAGAUAUCAAAGUCUUUGGGUUCCGGGGGGAGUAUGGUCGCAAGGCUGAAACUUAAAGGAAUUGACGGAAGGGCACCACCAGGAGUGGAGCCUGCGGCUUAAUUUGACUCAACACGGGGAAACUCACCAGGUCCAGACAUAAUAAGGAUUGACAGAUUGAUAGCUCUUUCUUGAUUUUAUGGGUGGUGGUGCAUGGCCGUUCUUAGUUCGUGGAGUGAUUUGUCUGCUUAAUUGCGUUAACGAACGAGACCUUAACCUGCUAAAUAGGAGCACCUAUCUCCGGAUAAGUGCCUUUCUUCUUAGAGGGACUGUAUGCGUUUCAGCAUGCGGAAGUUUGAGGCUAAAACAGGUCUGUG